rnacentral:rRNA from 1 species
GUAGUCCACGCCGUAAACGAUGCAGGCUAUUAGUAUGGAGUAUCGACCCUCUGUGCUGAGAAGCUAACGCGAUAAGCCUGCCGCCUGGGGAGUACGAGCGCAAGCUUAAAACUCAAAGGAAUUGACGGGGACCCGCACAAGCGGUGGAGCAUGUGGUUUAAUUCGAAGCUACGCGAAGAACCUUACCAAGGCUUGACAUCCUAGGAAGGCCCUAGAAAUAGGGCUGUGCCUUCGGGAACCUAGUGACAGGUGUUGCAUGGCCGUCGUCAGCUCGUGUCGUGAGAUGUUGGGUUAAGUCCCGCAACGAGCGCAACCCUUAUGGUUUGUUGUAUUUUUCAAACCAGACUGCCCCGGCCAACGGGGA